rnacentral:piRNA from 1 species
CAUGCUAGGAUCAUCAGAUAAAAG